ACGCUUAACCAACUGAGCCACCCAGGUGCCUGUAACAGCAUUUUAUUCAAACUUCUUAAUGUGUGUGUUACUGCACCUUUCAUUCCGUGUCUCUUCUACAGGGUUAUUAGCUCCUUAAGGAGCACUAGCAGGGCACAGGCUUUUGAGGAAGACAAACCUGAGUUGGAACUUCAGUUCUGCCCUUGGUAGCUGUGUAAGCUUCGAAUAGGUGAUAAGGAGUUUCAGAAUGACAGAGAAGGUUUUCCUUAACAGCAUAGAAGUUCUAAAUAUGAGCCUCCCAAAAGCAAGUACAAGAAAGCAAAUAGAAGAAAUCUUACUGAAGAGGAAGCAUUGAUAAUGCAAUUAUUUCACUCAGAACUCCUGGUUCUACGGAGAGUCUCACUACAUGGAACUGAGCAUCACAACAGGAUGGGUAAAAAUGGAGGUUAUCUCCCGGUGAUUUUUCCUGGAGCCACCAUGCAGACUUUGGGGAAAUAAGUUUGGAGGACGAAGGGGCGCCACAGAGAAGCGAGGACAAGAUAUUCAGAGCCAACUUUCCAUCCUGAGUCGACAUAAAGAAAUUACAAAUGGGGACAUCUGAGGUAAGAGCCUACAAAGCUCAGUGUGUGUGGACGCUGGGUUGUGAGAGUAAGAGAGAAGACGUGUAUUGUACCUACUGGCACAGAACCUAACCCAUAGUAAGCAUUCACCGAAUGGAAUUUAGUGUUGCCGUUACUCUACUGUGACACCUUUGAAAAAUUCUACACAGAAGGCUUACUGACUACCUUCCUAUGGCUUUGCAACAUUGUGAAGAACCUUCUACAGCAUCUAGUAGGCCUUGCGGUAACAAAGCUGAGGAAUGCAGGAUUUGUUAGCACCUGUUUCUGGUGGUCUUUGGUCUGAUCCUCAGCAGUGGAAUUACAUUUGAAAUAGACUAUGUUUACCGAGGAAGGCAUAUGGAAGAAAUGCAGCGUUGACCUUUAUGCAAAGAUUUUCUUUUUCUAUAGGAGAAUGAUCAUUAUCAAGAAACAUUUACUAAUGACCAACUAAAAUACGCUGUUUAUAAAUCUAUGGGAAAAUGUGAACUAUUCUUCCUUGAUAACCGCAAGGACAUGUGUGUAGAGAAAAAGAAAUCAAUUUGGUUUCUCUGAGCAGCUUUAGACCUGAUCCUAGAAACAAUAUUUAGUAGCUCCUUUAAAUUCUAAGAGAGAAAAAUAGUCAAAUUUAAUAAUUAUUAACUUAUAAUUUAUUACUAAUUAGGCAUGGGAUGUUUUAUCCUAUUUGUUGGCAUUAAAGUUAAAGUAAAACCAA